UACGGAGGGUGCAACCGUUGCUCGGAAUCAUUGGGCGUAAAGCGCACGUAGGCGGUCCAGCAAGUCGGGUGUGAAAGCCCUCGGCUUAACCGAGGAAGUGCAUUCGAAACUACUGGACUUGAAUACUGGAGAGGAUCGCGGAAUUCCCGGUGUAGAGGUGAAAUUCGUAGAUAUCGGGAGGAACACCAGUGGCGAAGGCGGCGAUCUGGACGGACACUGACGCUGAGACGCGAAAGCGUGGGGAGCAAACAGG
rnacentral:rRNA from 1 species